UGUUUCACUCAAUCAUUUAAAAGUGUAUGGUGUGGUGUUUCUCUCUAUUGCUACAGUGUCACAUAAAUUAAUUUUGCCUUUUAUUUACCCAUAAUCAAACAUACUCACAAACAGGUUGUCAUCACAAGGGCUUUUCAUGGCUUGUAACUUGGCUGGGCUAAGAAGGAAAUUGGUUUUUCUGGUCAGCAAAGUUCCUUGAGUUAAGAGAGAAUUUGUGAAUUUUUUUCUUUUAAGAACAACUCUGUUAUCUUUUUCCCAGCCUUCCCUUGCAGUGAGCUCUUUCUUUUUCUUCUUUGAAUCUUUCUUUCUCACUUUUUCUUCUUUUACCUUUUUCUGCUUUUUCUUG
rnacentral:lncRNA from 1 species